AAAGUAUGCUCACACCAAUGCAUGUCUUCCUAUCCGGACUUUGGAUAAUAAUGAUCAUCACAUUCCACCGUCAUUAAUAACCCCCUGCCCCCUCCCUUCCCCUCCCACCUCUCUGCCUUUAUCUAGAGUUCCUCUAUUCCUCCCAUGCUCCCCCUCCCUACCCCAUUAUGGGUCAGUCACCUUAUAUCAGAGAAAACAUUCCACAUUUUAUUUUUUUAGAUUGGCUAACUCCACUUGGCAUUAUCUUCUCCAACGCCAUCCAUUUACCUGCAAAUGCCAUGAUUUUAUUCUCUUUUAGUGUUGAGUAAAAUUCCAUUGUGUAUACAUGCCACAUUUUUUAAUCCAUUCAUCCACUGAAGGGCAUCUAGGCUGGCUCCACAGUUUAGCUAUUGUGAAUUGUGCUGCUAUAAACACUGAUGUGGCUGUGUCCCUGUAGUGUGCUGUUUUUAAGUCCUUUGGGUAUAGACCAAAGAGAAGGAUAGCUGGGUCAAAUGGUGGUUCCAUUCCCAGAUUUCCAAGGAAUCUCCUUACUGCUUUCCAUAUUGGCUGCACCAAUUUGCAAUCCCACCAGCAGUGUGUGAGUGUGCCUUUCCCCCCCACAUCCUCACCAGCACUUAUUGUGGUUUGUCUUCAUAAUAGCUGCCAUUCUGACUGGAGUGAGAUGAAAUCUUAUAGUGGUUUUGAUUUGCAUUUCUCUAAUUACUAGAGAUGAUGAACAUUUUUUCAUAUGUUUGUUGAUUGAUUGUACAUCCUCUUCUGAGAAGUGUCUGCUCAGGUUCUUAGCCCAUUUGUUGAUUGGCUUAUUUUGUGUGUGUGUGUGUGUGUGUUUAACUUUUUGAGUUCUUUAUAUACCCUAGAGAUUAGUGCUCUAUCUGAUGUGUGAGGGGUAAAAAUUUACUCCCAGGAUGUGGGCUCUCUAUUCACCUCACAGAUUGUUUCUUUUGCUGAGAAGAAACUUUUUAGUUUGCCUAGAGAUGCAGAGCUGGAGUUCCAAACUUGUUAAGAAGUCUUUCACCUGGUUGAUCGGUGGCAAAGCGCUGGAUUAGCAUGUGUUGAGGCACUGGGUUCGAUCCUCAGCACCACAUUAAAAAUAAAGAAAAAUAAAGAAAUAAAUACAAGAAAGGACUUUCUACUUGCCCUAUCUAGUCUGCCAGAGCAAUAUCUAGUCUGCCAGAAUUGAAUAGGUUUUCAGGUUACGGUGCAAUGUGGGUUUUGGAGGAGGACAAUUUUGGGCUGAACUGCUACACAUUGACUCUCUGAUUUGGAUUCUGGAGGUUGAAAAGAAUUGGACUGAUCAUUAUUCUGGCAGCCUCCUUGGGAUCGGUGGUGAUCCAAGCCUCUGGGAGAGGCAAGAGAAGGGGGUGGAAAGAAGGAAACUGGGCCUUAGAGAGUACCAGGGGGGGAGACGACAGAAAGUUCGCAAGUUCAAAGCCAGCCUCAGCAACUUAGUGAGGCCCUCAGCAACUCAGCAAGACCCUGUCUCUAAAUAAAACAUCAAAAGGGCUGGGGAUGUGGCUCAGUGGUUCAGAACCCUGGGUUCAAUUCUUGGUACCAAAAACACGAAAACAGAUCCAGCUGAGUGUGGUGACUUAUGCAUACAUAUACCUCCAGCAGUUUGGGAGGCUGAGGCAGGAGGAUCUCAAGUUUGAGGCCGUCCUCCACAAUUUAGCAAGACUCUAAAAAAAUGUUGAAGGUUCCUAAGAUUUUGCAUGAUAAAGAAACAUUCCUCUUGUUUAAUCCAUUUUUUUUUCAAUUUUUAUAAUACCAGUUUAUACUACAUAUUUCUAUGCCUAAUUUAAGUUGGGUUUCUGUUACUUGCUACCCAAAGAGCUUUGAUUACAGUAGAUUAGAAUAUGCAUUUGGGGUACGAAGUAUUGUUGUGGACAUUUUUGUAUAGGCCAUGGAUGGGCUUAGUAUUUGAUUUUGUUUUAGUGCCAGUGAGCACUAACUUUCCAUAACAGGGGGGGAAAUGUGGGGUUUCAAUGACACACUAAUGUGCAGACUAGGAGUUAUACGGACUUGAUCUUCUCUACUUUUACUGAGUCCUUAGAUCACCCCAGACACAGUGGAAGAAAACAACCCUUGCUGUACCUCUUUCUCAUUAAAAAAGGGUGUUCAGGCAAUCUACAAGGAAUAACAAUGAAAAGAGAUUAAUUCUUUUAUUUUGGGGACUCUCUCUCAGUUAUGGCUUAUCAGAAGUGACGUACCUUUCUCUCUCUCUUUGGUACGGGUCAUUUUACCACUAAGCUACAUCCCCC
rnacentral:lncRNA from 1 species